rnacentral:rRNA from 1 species
UUGGAGGGCAAGUCUGGUGCCAGCAGCCGCGGUAAUUCCAGCUCCAAUAGCGUAUAUUAAAGUUGUUGCAGUUAAAAAGCUCGUAGUUGAAUUUCGGGAUCAAAUUGUCGGUCGUGCCUCGGUACGCACUGGUAUUAUUGGUUCCCACCUCCUGAAGAACCGCGAUGUCAUUAAUUUGGUGUCGUGGGGAAUCAGGACUGUUACUUUGAAAAAAUUAGAGUGUUUAAAGCAGGCUUACGCUUGAAUACAUUAGCAUGGAAUAAUGAAAUAGGACGUUUGAUUCUAUUUUGUUGGUUUCUAGGAUUGACGUAAUGAUUAAUAGGGAUAGUUGGGGGCAUUAGUAUUCAAUUGUCAGAGGUGAAAUUCUUGGAUUUAUUGAAGACUAACUACUGCGAAAGCAUUUGCCCAGGAUGUUUUCAUUAAUCAAGAACGAAAGUUAGGGGAUCGAAGACGAUCAGAUACCGUCGUAGUCUUAACCAUAAACUAUGCCGACUAGGGAUCGGAUGAUGUUAAUUUUUUAAUGACUCAUUCGGCGCCUUACGGGAAACCAAAGUGUUUGGGUUC